rnacentral:rRNA from 1 species
GAUGAACGCUGGCGGCGUGCCUAAUACAUGCAAGUCGAGCGAACGGACGAGAAGCUUGCUUCUCUGAUGUUAGCGGCGGACGGGUGAGUAACACGUGGAUAACCUACCUAUAAGACUGGGAUAACUUCGGGAAACCGGAGCUAAUACCGGAUAAUAUGUUGAACCGCAUGGUUCAAAAGUGAAAGACGGUCUUGCUGUCACUUAUAGAUGGAUCCGCGCUGCAUUAGCUAGUUGGUAAGGUAACGGCUUACCAAGGCAACGAUGCAUAGCCGACCUGAGAGGGUGAUCAGCCACACUGGAACUGAGACACGGUCCAGACUCCUACGGGAGGCAGCAGUAGGGAAUCUUCCGCAAUGGGCGAAAGCCUGACGGAGCAACGCCGCGUGAGUGAUGAAGGUCUUCGGAUCGUAAAACUCUGUUAUUAGGGAAGAACAUAUGUGUAAGUAACUGUGCACAUCUUGACGGUACCUACUCAGAAAGCCACGGCUAACUACGUG